UAACCAUUCCUAGUUGAAACUCUGUCCAAUCAAUAUCUCUCGAGAAAAGGAAGUUAGAGGUCAAAACCAUCUUCCCCUGAGCCAGAAGAAUCCAAAAGACAGUCUGUGCAAGUGCUAAUCAGGGGACCAACCCUCUUAACCAGAAAUAGGGGUCAAGCUCAGAUUUGCCCGACUCUGGAGGAAUUUUGAGCCUGUAUGCUAUCUCCGCCUAAAGGCAGAUUGAUUGAACCAUCUUUGAAGGAGGACUAUUCAGAAGAGAUUUAAAGCUUCUUCGGAUGGGGAAAGGAAGAAAUGAAGCAGUUUGUUAGAUAUGGGAAGAUUGACAUUUUGAAGGUGGCCAAGAUUUUCACCUGGUAUCUGUCAUUGGGAGAAAUCCAUCAGCAGAGAUCGUAGGAUGCUUAUCUACUUUGCAUGUUGGCUCGCUAUAUUCUCCAAACUCCCCGAUGUGGUACACCUCUUGUUCUGAUAGAGGUGCUAUAUUAGUUAAAGGAAGGAGGUGAUAUUGUCCCCACAGUCCUUGCAGAGAUGCUUAAAGGGUUUGAUGACAUGAACCACACACAAAUUUGGAACCGAUCAUUAUCAAGGAAGUCCUACUAUUUUCCAACUUUGAUUACUUAAAAGACUGAAACUGGUCAAGCUGCUAAAUGAGUGCCAACUCAGUGUUUCUUACUAUCAAGACAAGAGUGAGGCCCCAAAAUUCAAGCUCAUCGAUGAUUGGAAAGAGUACCUACAAGGAAAAACUUACGGGAUAUUGCAUAGAAGUUCCUAUGGUGGUCCCAAGAUGAUUUCCUAACGAAGACCCCUGGAUGUAGUUAUGUUAGGUUGAUGGGUUUGACUCAUACAUCCUUUUACUUGCUGACUUAUAUCAGCCGACAGUACAUACUGAAGGCGAAAGACCCGGAGGAGUUGGCGAAUUUCUAUCCAUCACAAGAAUUGUCUCCCUAAAUUGUAGCCCACCUAUCCUAUCUUUGGGUGUUCCCCAUUUUGAUGUGAUUCACUUGAUGAUGUAAUGAGGUGAUGUUUGGAUUUUAA